rnacentral:rRNA from 1 species
UCUUGACGAACCGUGAUGUCAUUCAUUUGGUGUUGCGGGAAAUCAGGACUGUUACUUUGAAAAAAUUAGAGUGUUUAAAGCAGGCUAACGCUUGAAUACAUUAGCAUGGAAUAAUGAAAUAGGACGUUAAUCCUAUUUUGUUGGUUUCUAGGAUCGACGUAAUGACUAAUAGGGAUAGUUGGGGGCAUUAGUAUUCAAUUGUCAGAGGUGAAAUUCUUGGAUUUAUUGAAGACUAACUACUGCGAAAGCAUUUGCCAAGGAUGUUUUCAUUAAUCAAGAACGAAAGUUAGGGGAUCGAAGACGAUCAGAUACCGUCGUAGUCUUAACCAUAAACUAUGCCGACAAGGGAUCGGAUGAUGUUAUUUUUAAUGACUCAUUC